rnacentral:rRNA from 1 species
GAUGAACGCUGGCGGCGUGCCUAAUACAUGCAAGUCGAGCGAACAGACGAGGAGCUUGCUCCCCUGACGUUAGCGGCGGACGGGUGAGUAACACGUGGAUAACCUACCUAUAAGACUGGGAUAACUUCGGGAAACCGGAGCUAAUACCGGAUAAUAUAUUGAACCGCAUGGUUCAAUAGUGAAAGACGGUUUUGCUGUCACUUAUAGAUGGAUCCGCGCCGCAUUAGCUAGUUGGUAAGGUAACGGCUUACCAAGGCAACGAUGCGUAGCCGACCUGAGAGGGUGAUCGGCCACACUGGAACUGAGACACGGUCCAGACUCCUACGGGAGGCAGCAGUAGGGAAUCUUCCGCAAUGGGCGAAAGCCUGACGGAGCAACGCCGCGUGAGUGAUGAAGGUCUUCGGGUCGUAAAACUCUGUUAUUAGGGAAGAACAAAUGUGUAAGUAACUAUGCACGUCUUGACGGUACCUAAUCAGAAAGCCACGGCUAACUACGUG